rnacentral:rRNA from 1 species
GACGAACGCUGGCGGCGUGCUUAACACAUGCAAGUCGAGCGGUAAGGCCCUUUCGGGGGUACACGAGCGGCGAACGGGUGAGUAACACGUGGGUGACCUGCCCUCAGCUCUGGGGUAAGCCUGGGAAACCGGGUCUAAUACUGGAUAUGACUCCAUGACGCAUGUUGUGGGGUGGAAAGCCUUGUGCGGCUGAGGAUGGGCCCGCGGCCUAUCAGCUUGUUGGUGGGGUGAUGGCCUACCAAGGCGACGACGGGUAGCCGGCCUGAGAGGGCGACCGGCCACACUGGGACUGAGACACGGCCCAGACUCCUACGGGAGGCAGCAGUGGGGAAUCUUGCGCAAUGGGCGAAAGCCUGACGCAGCGACGCCGCGUGAGGGAUGACGGCCU